UACACUCCUACGGGAGGCAGCAGUGGGGAAUAUUGCACAAUGGGCGCAAGCCUGAUGCAGCCAUGCCGCGUGUAUGAAGAAGGCCUUCGGGUUGUAAAGUACUUUCAGCGGGGAGGAAGGCGAUAAGGUUAAUAACCUUGUUGAUUGACGUUACCCGCAGAAGAAGCACCGGCUAACUCCGUGCCAGCAGCCGCGGUAAUACGGAGGGUGCAAGCGUUAAUCGGAAUUACUGGGCGUAAAGCGCACGCAGGCGGUCUGUCAAGUCGGAUGUGAAAUCCCCGGGCUCAACCUGGGAACUGCAUUCGAAACUGGCAGGCUAGAGUCUUGUAGAGGGGGGUAGAAUUCCAGGUGUAGCGGUGAAAGGCGUAGAGAUCUGGAGGAAUACCGGUGGCGAAGGCGGCCCCCUGGACAAAGACUGACGCUCAGGUGCGAAAGCGUGGGGAGCAAACAGGAUUAGAAACCCCGGUAGUCCCAUGAU
rnacentral:rRNA from 1 species